rnacentral:rRNA from 1 species
AAUGAACGCUGGCGGCGCGCCUAAUACAUGCAAGUCGAGCGAGAAGACGUAGCAAUACGUUUGUAAAGCGGCGAACGGGUGAGGAAUACAUGGGUAACCUACCCUAGAGUGGGGAAUAACUAGCCGAAAGGUUAGCUAAUACCGCGUACGCUCCUUGGACUUCGGUUCAGGGAGGAAAGCGAUGCCGAGGGUAUCGCGCUCUUGGAUGGACUCAUGUCCUAUCAGCUUGUUGGGAGGUAACGGCUCACCAAAGCUUCGACGGGUAGCUGGUCUGAGAGGACGAUCAGCCACACUGGCACUGCGACACGGGCCAGACUCCUACGGGAGGCAGCAGUAAGGAAUAUUGCGCAAUGGGCGAAAGCCUGACGCAGCGACGCCGCGUGGGGGA